rnacentral:lncRNA from 1 species
GAGAAUAAGGAAAUACGUGUGAGUAGUUUCUGUUUAUUGUGGUUGUGUGUUAUUUCACAUUUGUGCGUUUGUAUGCAUUUGUGUUUAAGUACAGUGUUGUUGAUGAUGACGAUGUUUUCGUUGCUGUUAUUGUUGUUUUUAUUUAACCCCAAAUAAGCCCUGACCUAAUAUGCCUAUAGUAAAAGCAUUUCAACUGUGGUCAAAAGGUUUUUUGCAUACGUUUUUAACUAUUAUGUUCAAAUUGUCCUUCCUUUUAUGAGUCAAUCGAAUGUAAUUUGAGAAAAUUUAACAGCCAUUUCAUCUCGCAGGUCACAGUGACCAUGGCGAGAAGUAGUGAUAGAGUGACAGGAAAAGAGAGAGAGAGAGAGAGAGAGAUUUUCAAUGCUUUUCACUGGAUGUACUGUGGUGAAUAUAACUUUGUGCGUAUGUGUAUUUGAGGGGUGAGAAUGCAUAUACAGUUGUGUGCAUGCGUGCAUGCGUAGAUGUAUGCAUGUAUGUGUGCGUGUGUGUGUGUGUAUUCCAGUACUAUGCUUUUCCACCUUGUUUGGCACUUGUGUACUCACCCGUGUAUGCAUAGAUAUAAUCUACCUUCUGUUUCCUUCAUCAAUUAUUAUAGAUAGAUAGAUAGAUAGAUAGAUAGAUAGAUAGAUAGAUAGAUAGAUAGACAGACAGACAGAUAGACAGACAGAUAGACAGACAGACAGUCAGACAGACAGACAGACAGUCAGACAGACAGACAGACAGAUAGACAGACAGAUAGAUAGAUAGAUAGAUAGAUAGAUAGAUAGAUAGAUAGAUAGAUAGAUAGAUAGAUAGAUAGAUGGGUGGAUGGAUGGAUAGAUAGAUAGAUAGAUAGAUAGAUAGAUAGAUAGAUAGAUAGAUAGAUAGAUAGAUAGAUAGAUGGAUGGAUAGAUAGAUAGAUAGAUAGAUAGAUAGAUAGAUAGAUAGAUAGAUAGAUAGAUAGAUAGACAGAUAGAUAGAUAGAUAAGUUUCUUUAUUGGCCACACAGGGCUGCACACAGAUGGGACAAGUUACAAGGUAGAGCUUUUCUUUUGGGGGAGCAAAAAAAUAAAAAAAAGGUGGCGUAGGUUUUCGAUCAAGAGGGAUCGUAAAAGGGAAAAAAGAACAAAAGAAAAGAAAAAAAGAAAAAAAGGAAAAGAAAAAAAGAAAAAGGGAAAAGGAACAAAAGAGAAGAAAAAUGAAAAAAGAACAAAAAAGAGGAAAAAAGGGGAAGAGGAAAAAACGAUCAAUAGGGAUCGUGUAUCACAGUGUCAUGAUGUAUGGUGUAAAGGGGAAAGCAAGUAAGGUUUAUCCGUGGGAAGAAAAGCCUACGAAAAAGACCACGGUAACCUUGGUCAAUAUUGUUAUAUGUUACCACAUUUGUUUGCAAGUGGGUAACCCUCUGUUUUCAAUUUCUGGGUUCAUAGGAUUAUGCUCAAGGUGGCUUCGUCAUUCAUAAGUGCCAUCCUUGCUACAUUCACCCAUCUUUUUUUUAAAACGUUCGCUAGACAAAACUUGCCUCUCUACUCUCACUUUCCUUUUCAAGUGGUACUUGAAGAAGUUGAUGAGAGGUUGACCAGAGAGGAAAGUGUUUGUCGCCAAUCCUUUCAGACGCGUCCACCAGAUACAUUCUUUCGCCAUAGCCACAAGGAUGAUGAAAAUAGCUCUUCCUUCCCGUUUGAAGGAAGGAGGCGUGACAAUAUUGACGAUAGACUCAGCUGAUAAACCGACUCGUCCCACACGUGACAGCAGUUGUUCGACAUAAGCCCACAGGUCGGAAAUUGUUGGACACUGCACGAGUGCGUGCAGAACGGUUUCGUCGCUCUGACCGCAUCUCGAGCAGGUCGGCCCCGUGUUUCUCGAGCCGUGUCUGUAGAGCUUAUCCCGAACGGGUAGCGCUUCUCGGUAGCACUGCCAGGCCAGGGAUCUCUGGAAGUUGUCCAUGGGCCCUGGCCCGAAAGUCGUCCCGAACAGGCGGGUCAGGUAUUCCUCGUCGACGUCCAGGUUCGCCCCGAGCUCGUCGUCGUACCUCCCCUCCACUAAUCCCCUAUAGAAUGCUUUGGUUGUGAUGGAGUCACUCAAGGUUGACCCAGGACGGCAGAGUUGCUUGAUGCAACGCGACACUCGCGGUGCCAUUCGCCCUUCCUCGGCCUCUUUUUGAUCCACGAUUGCAAUAGAUAGAUAGAUAGAUAGAUAGAUAGAUAGAUAGAUAGAUAGAUAGAUAGAUAGAUAGAUAGAUAGAUAGAUAGAUAGAUAGAUAGAUAGAUAGACAGACAGACAGACAGACAGUCAGACAGACAGUCAGACAGACAGACAGACAAAUAGAUAGAUAGAUAGAUAGAUAGAUAGAUAGAUAGAUAGAUAGAUAGAUAGAUAGAUAGAUAGAUAGAUAGAUAGAUAGAUAGAUAGAUGAAUGGAUGGAUGGGUGGUUGGAUGGAUAGAUAGAUAGAUAACAAAUUAUAGAGACGGGAAAUGGAAUAUACGAAACGUUUUAUUGCUCACAAUGAUCGUUUCACCCUAUUUUACAUCGAUCGCUCGCGGGUAGAAUACUGUACGACUACUUGGGGUGCAUCCUUCGGUGAAGAGAUAUAACGUGAGCUGAUUUUAUACGAGGUAUCGCGGUAAAGAAACCUUGUUUGGCUCGGUUUUGUUACAUUAUGUUGUUAGCCACCGUAGGUUUUAGCCUAUGGACAGGAAUAUAUAUAUAUAUAUAUAUAUAUAUAUAUAUAUGCAUACAAAGCGAACGUACUAAUUCUAACUUUUAUGGUGCUUUAUUAUUGCUGGAUAGUCAUAAUAUUUUUAAUAAUAUUAUAUAAUAUUUAUAGAUAAAGGACGUCACCAAAUGUGCAAAUAACAUGAAAUACAUGAACAAACGAGGGAAAAAAGAGUUCAAUACGUAAACAACGAGAAAAUGGAAAACAGGACAGGUUAACACAGAGAAAGGACCCUUCUUCAGUUGUCGGCUGACUAUCUACAUUUCUAACAUUCAACGACAAUGAGUCUUCAAAGACAGUUGCUCCCAUAAAUUCUAAAAUAAAAUGUAGGAUUUAUGGAGUGUCAAAGUUGGGAACAAAAAAAAAUUAAUAGAGACAUACAAGGAACCCGAACGAAAACAAACACGGAACGAGAGAAAAACAGUGAACGCUGGGAGAACAUUUUUUUGAAAAGUGAAAAGAUAGAAGAGAGAGAGAGAAAAACACGUCCGUUCGUUUAAACGUCCGUGCAGGAAUAGAAAGAUGGUCACGUGAGGAAAAGAAAGAUGGACGAUAGUCACGUGUGAGCAACGAGAGAAAGAGAAAGACGGGGAAGAGAAACAGAUAGAAAACGGUGAAGGAGGGAUGGGGAAAAAUGAAAUUAGAGAAGGAUGAAGAAAACCGUAUAAAAUAGAAAGUGGCAUCGAAAAGGUGAAGAUAAACUUACUUGGAAAUGGAUGCGCCGCAUUCAAUAUAUAUAUAUAGCACAAUGAAAGGACCCUUCAUCAGUUGUCGGCUGUUUAUCUACUCCUCAUUUCGAGCAUUCAACAACAUCACUAUCAUUUUUUUGUUCCCUACUGUAACCCUCCUAAAUUUUAUCUUGAAAUUUAUGCGAGCAACUGAGAGUAAUCCAAAAGUGUUUUCACUCCAACCCCAAAACACUUGAAAGUCAGCAAUCCAGCUGACUAUGCCACAGCAGAUAUAAAAACAGAGGCAGUGAUGAUUGAUUGCAUCAAUAUAAAAGUAGAUGAUGUAAAAUGGGUUAUAGAUGUGAUGAACCCGAACUCAGCUACUGCCCCCUGAUGGAUUCCCAGUAAUCCUUCAAAAACCAUGUAAGCGAGUCCUAGCAAGACCACUGCAGUCGCUCUUCCACAGCUUCCUUGCAACAACAAACUGCCAAACAAGCUGAAGGAAGGGAAAAUAUGCCCCAUCCAUAAAGAAGGUAUCAGAGCAGAGGCCAAAAACUACAGACCUAUCUCUCUGACCUCGCACAUCAGCAAAUCAUAGAACGAAUAGUCAGAAGAAAACUAAUCACCUGCCUUGAGGAAAAUGACUUGCUGACUGACACCCAACGUGGUUUCCGACCAGGAAGAAGCUACCUAGCUCAGCUCUUACAACACUAUGACUGAGUGUUGAAACAGCUGCUCGACCACUCAAAUGCGGAUGUAAUAUAUAUCGACUUUGCAAGUCGAUCAUGGAAUAUGUCACAAAAUGUAUGAUCUCGGCAUAGUCGAGAAAUUGGGAGAAUGGCUGCAUGACUUUCUGAAAGAUAGAAAUCAAGCAGGAGUAACCAAUGGGGCCACCUCUAAUGACACGCAAAUAGUGAGUGGUGCCCCGUGGGGCAUUUUUCGGGAACCACUACUGUUCAUAAUGGCCCUCUCAGAUAUGCCCUCAGCCACACAGAUGGCCAUGAUCACAAAUUAAGCAGAUGAUACAAAAGUCUCACAGGUGAUACAGAACGUGAGUUAGAUGAAAUAUACAAGUAUGCUAAGAAGAAUAGCAUGCAGUUUAAUGCUGAAAAGUUUCAAGCCCUAUACUAUCAGCAUGCAAAACUAAAUGCAAUACCAAUUAGAUAUCCUGGACCUGGAGGGAUUGCAAUCCCAGAGACACAGUCAGUGCGAGACUUGAGUAUUUACAUGAGUAAUGAUGCAUCCUUCUAUGUGCAUGUUUCUAAGUUGGCAAUUAAAUGUAGGCGGCUGACCGGAUGAAUUCUUAGAACUUUUAAAACGAGAGAGCAGGAAACCAUGAUGGUCCUUUGAAUAACAUUUGUCCUUAGCCUCUUUGACUAUUGCUCCCAGCUAUGGUCACCAAGCAGUGUAAAAUUCAUUGCAGAAAUUGAGGCAAUCCAACGAAGCUACACGAAGAAGAUAGCCUCAAUACAGCAUAUAAGCUACUGGGAAAGACUCAAGAGAUUGAGACUCUAUACGUAGACGGGAAAGUGAAGCCGUAAUAUACAUCUGGAAUAUCUUGGAGGGACUUGUCCCAAAUUUUGGCAUUGAGAGUUACACUAACGCUAGAACAGGGCACCACCACAUAGUGCCAAAGACUCCAAUUUUGCCAUCAAAACAUAGGACAAGCUAUUGCAGUAGCCUGCGCUUUAAAGGCCCACAGCUCUUCAAUAUCUUCCCGAAGGAUCUGAGAGACCUGCAUUGAGUGGAUGUAGAUUUCUUCAAAGCAAAACUAUCUUACUGUAAAGUGUCCCAGCUAAACCAGUUUCACAGAUGUGCAAAUGAGGGCAGCGCAUCAAACUCCCUCAUGCACCAAAUGUGAAGUUCUACAAAGAAUUAGUGAAGUAAAAAUUAUGUAGCAACACCAAAUGACAGUGCCCCAGCACGGCCACAGCUUGUGAGCUGAAACUAGUUCAAUUCAAUUCACACACACACACACACACACACAUACACACACACACAUACACACACACACACAUACACACACACACACACACACACACACACACACACACACACACACGGAAAGAGCGGUUGUGGGUGUUUUACGUGUUUGUAUGUUUACGGUUGUCCUUGUGACCUAUUUAGAAAUCAAUAAUCAUUUUGAUUCAUGUUAACAAGAUUAUAAAGCUUUAUAUGGGUUAAUCUCUUCUUUGCACACAAAGAUGGUCAUUUUUCUUCUAGUGUUGACUUAAGCCGCUGAAGCUGAUCGCAGUAGAUCUUUGUUAUCGCUUGUUUUGGGUUUAAAAGUUCAAAGUGGACUCGGUCUUUCAUAUCCCACCAAGUAAAUGACAUCUUCCGUGGGUGAAGGCUUUCUUUAGUCUGGGGUGCCGGUGUUUCUCUUUUCCCUAUCCACUGUCUUCAGUGCUUGGCAUUUUUAUAGAGAACCCAUUUCUCAUCACCAGUCCUUAUUCGGUCCAAAAAGGUUCAUUCGUGAUAUAUUACAGCAAAGAAGAUUAGACUCGGAAAGUUUGUGAGGAACCCAUUGAUCCAAUUUGCUGACUUUUCCGAUGACACGAAGAUGUCGAUGAAUGGUUGAAUGACCAAAUCCAAGCUUCUCCGCUGGUUCCUCAAUAGUUAUCAUGGGAUUUUGUUCCACCAAGAUUUGCAAGACGUCCUCGUCAAGGUCUACAGAUCUUCCAGGACGAGGCUUGUCUUCUAAGCUAUAGUUUCCGACUCAGAAUGUCUAAAACCACCGUUGACACUGGCUUAUGCUUUAGUGUCCGAUCCCCAUAUACUGCAUUAUUAUUUCUCGCACAUUCCGUUGCGUUCCACCAAUCGAGAACCUUUAUUGAACUCAUAAAGUAAAAUAUGCCGAAUAUGCUCCUUUGUUAGUUCCAUUAUAGCUUUGAAAAAUAACUGUUAAAAUCGAACUGCAAUCUUUAAAACUUGCUCUAAGAAUAAGGACAUAGUAAAAUUAUUACCUGCUUUUAUAGCAAGUUGAUGCAGGUAGUUAAUCCCGUCCCUCAUCCCCCUCCUACUCUAAGCUCAUGCAAUUGAAAAAAACUGCAUUACUUAUGAGAUGACCUAGUAUAUAUAUAUAUAUAUAUAUAUAUAUAUAUAUAUAUGCAAAGACUCACGUGCUCUAUAUAUAAGAUGACCCCUUUCGGUCAGACACUGACCAUGGGUUUGCACCUAGAGAGUUACCCUCUGAGGCACAAGUCUGGACAAGGUUGUUUUAUGGAAGAUCAUGCAUACCGGCCUCCCCUCUCCACGUCACCGAUGUUGUCCAAGGGAAAGGCAAGGGCCGAUACAGCUUGGCACCUGUGACGUCGCAACUCAUUUCUACAGCUGAGUGAACAGGAGCAACGUGAAAUAAAGUGUCUUGCUCAAGAACACAACACGCAGCCCGGUCUGGGACUCGAUGUCACAACCUCACGAUCGUAAGCUCGACGCUCUAACCACUGAGCCACGCGCCUUCACUAUAUAGAGCCACGCUCUAUAUAUAUAUAUAUAUAUAUAUAUAUAUAUAUAUAUAUAUAUAUAUAUAUAUAUAUAUAUAUAUAUAUAUAUAUAUAUAUAUAUAUAUAUAUAUAUAUAUAUAUAUAUAUAUAUAUAUAUAUAUAUAUAUAUAUAUAUAUAUAUAUAUAUAUAUAUAUAUAUAUAUAUAUAUAUAUAUAUAUAUAUAUAUAUACAUAUACAUAUACAGCCUUGGUAAAAAGUAUUAGGCUACCCACCAAUGUUUUGGAGUUCUGCUAUCUUAAUGUUAAUGAAACUCGUGUACAUGGUAGACUAUGGUAUAUUUCACAAUAUACAUUAGUUUUAAUAUCUGGUUGACCCUCCAUUAGCAUUAAGUACCGCUUUUAUACGGUUAGGCAUUGAAUAAACUAGUUUCUUGCAGGUGCUAGGCACAAUUUUACUCCAUUCUUCUCUCAACUUUGUCUUUAUUUUUAAUUGUUGCGUUUCUGAUAGCUUCACCAAGAGUUCCCCAUAGAUGUUCGAUCGGAUUAAGAACUGGACUUUGAGCUGGCCAGUCCAUGAGAUCAAUACCCUAUGUCUCAAACCAUUGACGAGUAUUCUUUGCUGUAUGACAUGGAGCGUUGUCCUGUUGAAAAAUAACAGUUUUUCGACACUCCUGG